CAGAUCCAAAUGCCUUUAGAAGUUCAUCAAUGGCUCGAAUGAAGCUCUAAUUUGGACAAGUGAUGAUUGACGAUGAUAGUAGCUUGGGUGGUGGUUUUGGAAGGAUUGGGUGCCGGUCUACCAUGUUUGGAUGCAACUGGAGGUUGUUUGGUCAGUUAUGGAAUACAUUGCUGGAGGAGAGCUAUUUGACAAGUUUGUAGCGCAACGCUUCAGUGACCAUGAGGUAAGUAUUCUUGAUUAUGUCUAAUGGAGGUCUGAACAAGCCAACGGUUCAUAAUCAUUUAUCUCUUGGCGAUUCGAUUGACUUUGUGAAGGUUUAAGAGGUAAUUUAAUUAGUUUUUUUUU